rnacentral:rRNA from 1 species
AUUGAACGCUGGCGGCAGGCUUAACACAUGCAAGUCGAGCGGAGAUGAGGUGCUUGCACCUUAUCUUAGCGGCGGACGGGUGAGUAAUGCUUAGGAAUCUGCCUAUUAGUGGGGGACAACAUUCCGAAAGGAAUGCUAAUACCGCAUACGUCCUACGGGAGAAAGCAGGGGAUCUUCGGACCUUGCGCUAAUAGAUGAGCCUAAGUCGGAUUAGCUGGUUGGUGGGGUAAAGGCCUACCAAGGCGACGAUCUGUAGCGGGUCUGAGAGGAUGAUCCGCCACACUGGGACUGAGACACGGACCAGACUCCUACGGGAGGCAGCAGUGGGGAAUAUUGGACAAUGGGGGGAACCCUGAUCCAGCCAUGCCGCGUGUGUGAAGAAGGCCUUAUGGUUGUAAAGCACUUUAAGCGAGGAGGAGGCUACUGAGACUAAUACUCUUGGAUAGUGGACGUUACUCGCAGAAUAAGCACCGGCUAACUCUGUGCCAGCCGCCGCUGUAA